rfam:Moniliophthora perniciosa FA553 Contig17488, whole genome shotgun sequence.
GGCGAGAUGGCCGAGCGGUCUAAGGCGCCAGACUAAGGAGACCAACACCUUUGAGGUGUUAUAAAUCUGGUCCGAAAGGGCGUGGGUUCGAAUCCCACUCUCGUCA